GCUGUGAUCGUAUAGUGGUUAGUACUUCACGCUGUGGCCGUGACAACCCAGGUUCGAAUCCUGGUCACAGCA
rnacentral:tRNA from 1 species